rnacentral:rRNA from 1 species
UACGUAGGGGGCUAGCGUUGUCCGGAAUUAUUGGGCGUAAAGAGCUCGUAGGCGGUUUGUCGCGUCUGCUGUGAAAACCCGAGGCUCAACCUCGGGCCUGCAGUGGGUACGGGCAGACUAGAGUGCGGUAGGGGAGAUUGGAAUUCCUGGUGUAGCGGUGGAAUGCGCAGAUAUCCGGAAGAACACCGGUGGCGAAGGCGGUUAGCUGGGGUCGGACUGACGCUGAGGCGCGACAGCGUGGGGAGCAAACAGG